rnacentral:rRNA from 1 species
UAUACAUGCAGUCGAGCGGACAGAUGGGAGCUUGCUCCCUGAAGUCAGCGGCGGACGGGUGAGUAACACGUGGGCAACCUGCCUGUAAGACUGGGAUAACUUCGGGAAACCGGAGCUAAUACCGGAUAACACCGAGGACCUCAUGGUCCUUGGUUGAAAGAUGGCUUCGGCUAUCACUUACAGAUGGGCCCGCGGCGCAUUAGCUAGUUGGUGAGGUAACGGCUCACCAAGGCGACGAUGCGUAGCCGACCUGAGAGGGUGAUCGGCCACACUGGGACUGAGACACGGCCCAGACUCCUACGGGAGGCAGCAGUAGGGAAUCUUCCGCAAUGGACGAAAGUCUGACGGAGCAACGCCGCGUGAGCGAUGAAGGCCUUCGGGUCGUAAAGCUCUGUUGUUAGGGAAGAACAAGUACCGUUCGAAUAGGGCGGUACCUUGACGGUACCUAACCAGAAAGCCACGGCUAACUACGUGCCAGCAGCCGCGGUAAUACGUAGGUGGCAAGCGUUGUCCGGAAUUAUUGGGCGUAAAGCGCGCGCAGGCGGUUCCUUAAGUCUGAUGUGAAAGCCCACGGCUCAACCCGUGGAGGGUCAUUGGAAACUGGGGAACUUGAGUGCAGAAGAGGAAGCGGAAUUUCCACGUGUAGCGGUGAAAUGCGUAGAGAUGUGGAGGACACCAGUGGCGAGGCGGCUUUUCUGGUCUGUACUGACG